rnacentral:rRNA from 1 species
UAGGGAAUCUUCCACAAUGGACGCAAGUCUGAUGGAGCAACGCCGCGUGAGUGAAGAAGGUUUUCGGACCGUAAAGCUCUGUUGUUGGUGAAGAAGGGUAGAGGUAGUAACUGGCCUUUAUUUGACGGUAAUCAACCAGAAAGUCACGGCUAACUACGUGCCAGCAGCCGCGGUAAUACGUAGGUGCAAGCGUUGUCCGGAUUUAUUGGGCGUAAAGCGAGCGCAGGCGGAAGAAUAAGUCUGAUGUGAAAGCCCUCGGCUUAACCGAGGAAUUGCAUCGGAAACUGUUUUCUUGAGUGCAGAAGAGGAGAGUAGAACUCCAUGUGUAGCGGUGGAAUGCGUAGAUAUAUGGAAGAAUACCAGUGGCGAAGGCGGCUCUCUGGUCUGCAACUGACGCUGAGGCUCGAAAGCAUGGGUAGCGAACAGGAUUAGAUACCCUGGUAGUCCAUGCCGU